GCGGGUACUCCAGGGGAAAGCCGGCCUUCCAAGCCGUGUGACGAGAGUUCAAGUCUCUCUAUCCGCU
rnacentral:tRNA from 1 species